UGGGGAAUAUUGGACAAUGGGCGCAAGCCUGAUCCAGCCAUGCCGCGUGAGUGAUGAAGGCCCUCGGGUUGUAAAGCUCUUUCACCGGUGAAGAUAAUGACGGUAACCGGAGAAGAAGCCCCGGCUAACUUCGUGCCAGCAGCCGCGGUAAUACGAAGGGGGCUAGCGUUGUUCGGAUUUACUGGGCGUAAAGCGCACGUAGGCGGACUAUUAAGUCAGGGGUGAAAUCCCGGGGCUCAACCCCGGAACUGCCUUUGAUACUGGUAGUCUUGAGUGCGAGAGAGGUGAGUGGAAUUCCGAGUGUAGAGGUGAAAUUCGUAGAUAUUCGGAGGAACACCAGUGGCGAAGGCGGCUCACUGGCUCGAUACUGACGCUGAGGUGCGAAAGCGUGGGGAGCAAACAGG
rnacentral:rRNA from 1 species